rnacentral:rRNA from 1 species
UAAGCGGAGGAAAAGAAACCAACAGGGAUUGCCUCAGUAACGGCGAGUGAAGCGGCAAAAGCUCAAAUUUGAAAUCCCCCCGGGGAGUUGUAAUUUGAAGGUGGGGCGAAUUGGCGGAAUGGUUGUAAAGUCCCUUGGAACAGGGCGCCUUAGAGGGUGAGAGCCCCGUACACAACCUCCUUCUGUCUUUAUUUUGCCCCCCCAACGAGUCGAGUUGUUUGGGAAUGCAGCUCAAAGUGGGUGGUAAAUUCCAUCUAAAGCUAAAUACCGGCGAGAGACCGAUAGCGAACAAGUACAGUGAUGGAAAGAUGAAAAGCACUUUGAAAAGAGAGUGAAACAGUACGUGAAAUUGUUGAAAGGGAAGGGCUUGCAAGCAGACACGGUUUCGGCCGGGCCAGCAUCGGUUGACAGGGGUGGAUAAGGCGCUAGGAAUGUAGCAACCCUCGGGUUGUGUUAUAUCCUCGCGAGAUACACCCACCGUCGACCGAGGCCUGCGAUUCUUUCUAGGAUGCUGGCGUAAUGGUUGCAAGCCGCCCGUCUUGAA